CGUAUGAGCAGGCCUGCCCUUCUUUGUUGGCUAAAUCGACCAUCAACAAGGAACAGAUGGAUCUGCCAUUUUCCUGAUAAAGCAUCGCUGCUGCUGCUGCUGCUAAGUCACUUCAGUCGUGUCCGACUCUGUGCGACCCCAUAGACGGCAGCCCACCAGGCUCCCCCGUCCCUGGGAUUCUCCAGGCAAGAACACUGGAGUGGGUUGCCAUUUCCUUCUCCAAUGCACGAAAGUGAAAAGUGAAAGUGAAGUCGCUCAGUCGUGUCUGACUCUUAGCGACCCCAUGGACUGCAGCCCACCAGACUCCUCCGUCCAUGGGAUUUUCCAGGCAAGAGUACUGGAGUGGGGUGCCACUGUCUUCUCCGAAAGCAUCACUGCUGUCUCUCGUUCUUACGAAGCAACGUGGUUGUUUUAAGAAGAAGAGAGAAACGAUUCUAGCUUUAGCUGUGGGAACGUUCCUGCUUGCUGGCCUGACUCGACCAUUGGCUGGUCUGGGGUAAAAGUACAAAGCUGCCAGGAGCUGUCCACAGGAUUCCAUGUGUAUGAAUAUGCCAUCGACACGGCAGAAGAGGAAAGCCGCGGAGUGGUACCAGCUCCCACAGCAGCAUUCUCUGUGAGUUCUCCCGUGGUGAGUGCGGCAGCCAAAGGAUUCCACAGCUUCAUCCCACUCUUACUCUCAGACUCCACUCUGCAGCCUCGGCACUGCCCUCCGCAUCACAGAAGAGAAAUGGACCCUCCUUUCCUGGAUCAUCAACUAUUUUUCCAUCCUUCCUCAAUACCCACUUUCAUGAUCAUUCUCUAGAACUUAUUACCAACAUCUCUGUCACUCUUCAUAAGCUUAACUUAGAGUCUCAUUCUCUGAAAACCAUAUCUUAUGCUUCCCAUUCAUUUCCCCCAAAUGUCUAAGGCACCAAGAACUCACUUAACCUCACAGGGAACUCUGAUUGACCCUAGUGCUGUCCCAGAAGCCCCUCAGUCUUUCCUUAAAUCUUGCUGUGAAUAUUCUCAUCUAGGUAGCAGACCAAGGUUGGAGAAAAGCAUACAAUUGUGACAACUUUAAAUAAAAAAAUAAAUGAAUGACCACUAAUCUCAAGUGGAAUCUUAGCAUUGCCAGGAAACACAUUACUUCUCUCUCCUGCCUUGAGCUUCCCUGGUGGCUCAGCAGUAAAGAAUCUGCCUGUCAGUGCAGGAAAGCUGAGUUUAGUCUCUGGGUCAGGAAGAUUCCCAGGAGAAGGAAAUGGCAAUCCACCCAGUAUUCUUGCCUGGGAAAUCCUGUGGACAGAGGAGCCUGGCUGGCUAUAGUCUGUGGAGUUGGGAACAGUCGGACAUGACUUAGCAACUAAACGACUGCCUUUGUUCUCCUAUUACAUUAGGCCAUUGUUCUACAACUUUCCUCCAAAGGCCCUAACCUCCUUCUCAAUAGUUCUCAUCUGAUGAUCUUGCUAGGUAUUUCCUUGGGAAAACUGAAGCAGCCAGAGAUCUCCCAUGUGUUCUCAGCACCCCAUCUCCCGGACCGCCUCUCUGCAGCCUGUAGUGCCCCCUCUUAGACCAUUCCUGCUCAGUCUGCCCUCUGUGGCAGCCCUUCUUGGGCACGGCACCCACCCCCUAUAAUCUGCUCUAGGAACUUUCUCUGCAAAUCCCUCCCCUUGCUCCUGCUUUAACAUUUCUUUUCUGCACAACCACAUUUAAUAUUUUCCAUCUUGAAAGAGCCCUCCCCCAAUGCCACAGUCCCUUCUACCUCUGACCUUGCUUCUCUUUGCAGCAAAUCUCAGAAGUGAUAAUUACACUUACCGUCUCCACAUCCUUUACUUUUCUCCUCUCUUGAACCAACUCCAAUCAACUUCUUGUCCCUCUGCUGAACUGAGACAGCUGAAGGCUUUCACAGGUGUUUACCAACCCAGUGGUCAAGGUUUUAUUGUCUUACUCAGCCCAUAGGCUGUCUUCGACACAGCUCAUGUUCUCCUUCACACGUCUCCUUCACUGGCUUCCAGAAGGCGGCUGUCUCUCACUCCUUCUCCUGUAUCCUUGGUCAUUUCUUCUCCUUUGCUCUCCUCACCUUAAUUUUUGUGGACUCCAUGGGCAUGAAGUUAUAUUUUUUCUCAAGCUACUUCUGCUUCCUAGGUGGACUCAUCUUCCAAGGGCUCUUGCCCAGCUCAGAUCUUCUAUACUCAGUGUCCUAUUUAACAUCUCCAUCCAGAUGUUUACCAGGCUUCCCAAAACGUAACACUCACACUCUCCCAUCUUUCGGAAAGGUAAAAUCUUCUUCCAGCCUCUCAAGCCAAAAUCCUCAGUUAUUCCUGACUCUCCUCACACCCAGGUCCACACCUUCAGCACAUUCUGACAGUUCUUCCUUUGUCCUAUGAUUCAAACAAUCUGAGCACCUCUGACAACUCCCACUACUACGACAGUUUUUCAGCUCAUUAUAAAUUCUCACUUGGACUUUCCCAAUUGUUUCUUGUUAUCCUAGCAUCUGAACUGGCCCCUUUAUGGUGCACACAUCACACACAACCAGGAGGAUCCUUUUAAAACCUAAGUCAGAUCAUGACACUACUCUGCAAAAGAGACCUCGAGGGCUCCGUCUCAGCAGAGGUGUCUGGCCUCAUUUCCCAUCGCUGGCCUCUUUGCUCUGUUUGCUCCUCUGAGAGGAGGAUGCCGCAGGGCCUUUGAAUGUGAGCUCCCUGUGCUGUACUCAGGCCAUCAGUUCUCUCCCUGCUUCGUUCUUCUCCACAGCCCUUUCUAGCACCUGGAAAAUCAUGCCUUCUUUUCUUUAUCUGUCUCCCCAAACAAGAUGUUAAGCGUCCCAAGGGGAGAAGCUGUGUUUUGCUCAUUAUUAUACCCUCAAGGCCUGGAACAAUGCUUGGAAAAUGAUAGGCUUCUGAAAGAAUGUAUUUAAUUCACAAAAAUUAAAUUAUCCACACUUUGCAACAGAAAAUUAAGAUGUUAUUAGCUUAUUUGUCUUCAACUUAUUCUACAUUCUUACCCUCCAAAAUUAUAAACACCUUAUAAAUUUCUUUUAUUCAUACAAUCUGGUGGCUAAGCUGACGCCUGCAGAAUAUUUGUAACUUUUUGAAGGUCAAGGAUGAAGAAAAGGCCUAAUUUAAAGAUUUUCCUUAUUCAACCCAGUACAAAACUCUUAGUGAUUCGAUAUUUCUGUUUAGUGAUGACACCAUCUUUAUGUGAAGAAUAUAGCCCAUUAUGUUGAUAGGCAAAUUGAAAAUGGGCAUUGCAUUUAUGAGGGUAUAAAAAAUAAAUGUAAUGCUUAUUACCUUGAAAUGUGUCAGCUACCAGUUUCUCAGUUUUACAAGAAAUGUAGGAGACACAGAUGUUCUAUUACCUAUUCCAGUUAAUUUCCUCUCUUUUUCAACAUCAUUAGCUUCUUCUCAGAAUUAUAAGCUGCUUCUUGGGGAAGAUAAGACAAGAGUAGUAAUUUUGGUUGAAUGCUCUGCAGUUAGUUUCUCAAGGUGAUCAAAAUACUGAAAACGUGAGGAUUCAAGGAGAGUGGCUGCCUGGGGAAGGGUGUCCUUUCCUUAUACCAGCUCGACCACCUGGCUGCUCUGAAUUCUAUCCUUUCAUAGUAAACCAGUGAUCUCACAGACCAUAUAUAGAAAUAUAAAUAUAUAUAUAAAUAAAUAUAUUUACACAAUAUACAGUUAUUGUUUAGUUGCUAGGUCGGGUCCGACUCUUUUGCGACCCCAGUGACUGCAGCCCACCAGGCUCCUUUGUCCAUGGGAUUUUUCAGGCAAGAAUACUGGAGUAGGUUAUCAUUCCCUUUUUCAGGGAAUCUUCCCGACCCAGGGAUUGAACCCACAUCUCC
ensembl:lncRNA